rnacentral:rRNA from 1 species
UCCGUAGGCGGGAUGAUAAGUCAGUGGUGAAAGCCCACAGCUCAACUGUGGAACUGCCAUUGAUACUGUCAUUCUUGAAUCUAGUUGAAGUGAACGGAAUGUAACAUGUAGCGGUGAAAUGCAUAGAUAUGUUACAGAACACCAAUUGCGAAGGCAGUUCACUAAGCUAGUAUUGACGCUAAGGGACGAAAGCGUGGGUAGCGAACAGGAUUAGAUACCCUGGUAGUC